UUUGUCUCGCGUAACAUUUUACUUAAGGUAGUGAAAAAUUGUUGUGAUUCUAGAUGUGAUGAAAACUUCAUCACAAUAAUGCACACGACAAUUUUAAGAAUGCAUCCCUGGAAUUUCUUAAUUUGAGUAGUGGCUUUUCUUGCACUCUAUGUUACACUCACCCAUCACAUUUAUUCAACCUUUAAGGAAAAUUUGAAUAUUUGAGCAUAAUCUUUUUGUCUUUACUCUUGAGCCUAGUUUUUG
rnacentral:lncRNA from 1 species